rnacentral:lncRNA from 1 species
CUUGACCUCUCCCAGGUACAAAGGUGCUUCAGCUCUUAUGGAGCUCUUAUUUGGUUUUGCCCCAAGGUUUUAUAAGCAGGUUGGCAAUUUGGCUCUCCUGUCUUUAAGGCAGAAUCUUUCAGGGCAGGAGCUGCAGCCACAGCUUGCUUCACACCAGUCCAAUGAGGAACCAUCUUUGAGUGGAUUUUGACAUGUGGCACAGCCAUGCUCAGGGCUCAGAAGCCUGGACAGCUGUUAGAUUUUGCUGUGAAGCCAUCAAACUCUCCUUUCUUCUCAGCGUUAUGAAAUUCCAAGCCGCUAACGUUUUACGUCAUCGAUGCACAAAACAAAAAGCAAAAAAGCACUGCUCUAUUUCUAAGCAGCAGACAGAAAAAAUUUGAACUGAGCUUUUUUAAAACAUGGAAAAUAACCUUGUAAUACCUUGAGUUCUUAAAAAACUUGUGGAGGGCAAUAUCCCACUCUAUACUGAUGCUCUGAUCUUCACAGGGUGUUGGCAUGGGCACAAGCACAGGCCAUGCUGGAGGAGACUCGUGAUGGGGGAGGAUUUUAGGCUUCUGUGCAACCUGCUGUGUCUGUGCUCUGUGCAUUUUGAGUGGAUGAGAUGGAUCCUUUGUUCUGUGGCUGAAGAGAUCCCAGGAAAUCUUGAGUUUCAGGAUGGAGUUUUGGAUCUGCUCUGCUCAGCUGGACUGGGAUUUCAUCCAUGCACUCACUCUCCCCGGGGUGUUCAAUUUUUGCAACCUCUCUGUGCUCAGAUUGAAUCUAUCUAGAAAAAUCAAAAGGACCCAUGCAACCCCAAACUACUUAUGAUUGCACUUGUUCUUGCUAUUUUUGAUGUCCUUUGACAGCAAACACUUAUUUCUGUUCAUUGCACCACAUUUACCCCCAAGGAAGCUUUUGCUCAGAACAAUCUGUGUGAGGUUUGGGAGAGCUGUGCACCCAAAACUUCCCUAAAGUUCCACGAAAUAUAUUACAUGUGGAGCACAAAGAUCAUUUCACAAUUCCUUGCUAGCUUUUCUAAUAAAUUGUCUCACAUCCAUUGCUCUUGAGUGUUU